AGGCGACGGCGUGAGAGGCAGCGGCGGGAUGGCCGGCCGGCGGGUAAAUGUGAAUGUGGGCGUGCUGGGUCACAUCGACAGUGGCAAAACAGCGCUGGCGCGCGCGCUGAGCACCACGGCCUCCACUGCUGCCUUCGACAAGCAGCCGCAGAGCCGCGAGCGCGGCAUAACGCUCGACCUGGGCUUCUCCUGUUUUGUCGUGCCGCUGCCGGGGGCAGAACCCGGUUCUAGCGACACGCUGCUGCAGGUCACACUGGUCGACUGCCCCGGGCACGCCUCCCUCAUCCGGACCAUCAUUGGCGGUGCCCAGAUCAUUGAUUUGAUGAUGCUCGUGAUUGAUGUGACCAAGGGAAUGCAGACACAGUCCGCAGAGUGCCUUGUGAUUGGCCAGAUCGCCUGCCAGAAGCUGGUUGUGGUGCUGAACAAAAUAGACCUGUUAGCAGAAGGGAAGAGACAGGCAGCGAUUGACAAAAUGACCAAGAAAAUGCAGAAGACUCUUGAGAACACCAAAUUCCGGGGUGCACCGAUUAUUCCCGUGGCAGCCAAACCUGGGGGACCAGAAGCCCCUGAAACUGAAGCUCCACAGGGCAUCUCAGAACUCAUUGAGCUCCUGAAGUCCCAGAUUUCCAUCCCAACGAGAGACCCCUCUGGACCAUUCCUUAUGUCUGUGGACCACUGCUUCUCCAUCAAGGGUCAAGGCACCGUGAUGACUGGGACUAUCCUCUCAGGCACUAUCAGCCUUGGGGACAGUGUGGAGAUCCCUGCCCUCAAGGACAGGAGAAGCAAGCUGCUACUCAGCUCCUUCUGCUUGCAGAAUCCAGAUAGAAGUACCAAGACCUGGAGAGAUGGCUGCUCUUCCAAAGGAUGAAUCCACAGGUGGUGAAGAAAGUGAAGUCCAUGCAGAUGUUCCAUACACCCGUCACCUCUGCCAUGCAGGGGGACCGACUGGGCAUCUGUGUCACCCAGUUUGACCCCAAGCUGUUGGAGCGUGGGCUGGUAUGUGCACCCGAGUCUCUGCACACUGUUCACGCAGCCCUCAUCUCUGUGGAGAAGAUCCCUUACUUCCGAGGACCCCUGCAGACCAAGGCCAAGUUCCAUAUCACCGUUGGCCAUGAGACAGUCAUGGGUCGCACGCUGUUCUUCAGCCCUGCUCCUGACAGCUUUGACUUGGAGCCCGUGCUAGAUUCCUUCGACCUUUCCCGAGAGUACCUCUUCCAAGAGCAGUACCUGUGCAAGGAUUCCAUGCCCACAGCCACAGAAGGUGAUGACGAGGCGGACCCCAAAGCCGGCCACGCCCCAGGGGGCCACUGCCCCCGGCAGCAGUGGGCCCUGGUAGAGUUUGAGAAGCCAGUCACCUGCCCCCGACUCUGCUUGGUGAUUGGCUCCAGACUAGAUGCCGACAUUCACACCAACACAUGCCGGCUGGCCUUCCAUGGUGUCUUGCUGCAAGGGCUGGAGGACAAGAACUACAUUGAGAGCUUCCUGCCAGCACUGAGGGUUUACAAGCUGAAGCACAAGCAUGGCCUUGUGGAGCGGGUAAUGGAUGACUACAGCGUGAUUGGACGUUCCCUGUUCAAAAAGGAGACCAACAUCCAGCUCUUUGUGGGGCUUAAGGUGCAGCUGUCCACAGGGGAACAGGGUAUCAUCGACAGUGCCUUCGGCCAAAGUGGCAAGUUCAAGAUCCACAUCCCUGGUGGCCUCAGCCCUGAGUCCAAGAAGAUCCUGACACCUACACUCAAGAAGCGGAGCCGAGCCGGCCGUGGAGAGACCACCAAGCCAGAGGAGGGCACUGAACGGCCAGAGCCCAUCCAGCCUGUGACACUCAACCUGUCUUUCAAGCGCUAUGUCUUUGACACCCAGAAGCGCAUGGUACAGACUCCCUGAAUGAACCAUCCUGCCCAGCUGCAAGCCAGACCACAGUGCCAGAUGCCCCCAGACAUGCCUCAACCUCCCCAGUCUGAGGCAGUCAACCCCAUCCCACUGCCAUUGCACUGUUAUUGAGCCCCAUUGAGAAAACCUGGGGAAAAUGAGGAACAGUGCCAGGAGGGCCUGCCACUCCAUCCCUGAACCCACUCAGGAUAGCAACGAGGCCUACUAGAAAAUGGCCUUAGCAGAGCCAGCAACCUGGGUCUUCCCCCGAUAAGAGUGUGCAGCCACUCAGCCUUGCCCCAACUAGCUGGCACCCUCCAACGGAAAAUAAACAUCCCAUAUGUGACCUAGUGUGCCCAUAGUCUGCCUGUCUCCCAGGGCUUCCCAGGCAUCACAGGGAGUUGUGUGCAUUGGGUUUAGGGCUCGAGAGCUGCUAGGUUCAACCAAGUGGCUCCUGGGAUGUUGUCAGUGGACCUUGAAGAAUGGAGGUUUUCUGAACAGCUGAGUUUCCUGGGGUCCUCUGGCCAGGGGUUAGUACCCUGGGGUUCCAUCCUUGCACGAGAGGUCAAUAGGCCCUGGCCUCCAUUUUUGGAACCAUGGACUCCCAAGGGUGCUAGACCAGGGGUGGAGUACCUGGACCCUCUCCAUGCUCAUCUUCAGCCCCAGCACCCUCAAGCUUAGCAUGGGGACUGAGAUAGGGGCAAGAGGAUAGAACUGACCAACGAAGGAAAUCAGAGCUUUUCCAGACACCUGUAAGGGGAGCAGAUGUCCCAAUGUUUCUCGGUUUGGCCUCCAGACAGACGUGAAGGCCUCCCUUUAUCCCAGUAAUCGGUGCAUUAUGCUUUAAUUUUCAAAAAUGGCAUUAAAAAUAUUAACAGGG